GUGGCCAACCAGAUAUUCCACAUAGCAUCUGCAACAAGGAAUGGACACUAUAUAACCUAAUUUAAUAAUAUUUGAAUUUAUUAGCAUCGUCUUCGACAUAAAUCGGAAAGAUUAACAAUUCUUUUGAAGUUAUUAGUUAUUCAUCCAUCCGCAUGGAUUAUGGGCAAAUUUUGAAUCCCCAACUCCAAAACUAUCAUUUGCUAUCGGCACAUAUAGGAGUGGAAAGCAAAAUAUUAAGAGGUGGAGGCAAAUAAUAUCCACAUAUGCACACUCAUAUAAAUGAAAAAAGAGUAGAGCAACUGGCGAUUUUUAUUAUCAAAUUGUAUGUGCUUUGAGGAGAGUUAAAGAGAGAACCCCAAAACUAGAACAAGAGGCAACAACAUCAAGUAUAUUUAGUAAAAAAAUUGAAUUAAGCCCGUCUAAAAAAGCUCAAAAACAAACCCUUUUAUGUUUUUUUCAUUUCCUACGCACCUCAAAAACAAUCCUCACAUAAAUUAACUUAUUAGUCAAAGAAAAAAAAAAAAAAAACAAGAACGAACGCAAAAUGAGAAGGGGAUAUAAAAAAAACCGUUCGCACGUGUUAUGAGCGAAUUCUACAAAGUGGGGUUACUAAAAUCUCCACUCCCUAGAUUGGGAAUGCAGAAUAAAUGCAUUAUCCGUCCAUAUAGUAAGGUUUACCUCCCUAAUUACAUGGAGCAAUGAUAAGAAUAAAAAAUGAUCCAUCGUAUAUUACAUAAAUUUUGCUUUUUAUAGAGAAAUUAAUGAUGGAUUGGUGAUGGUGAAGAAGUAAUUAAAGGAAAGAAAGUGAGGAGACCGUGAUCUGAACGAAGUUGGAAAGGAGUCAACAUCUACAUCCUCAGUUACUAACCCCUACUACUGAAAAGCCUGCCAAAAUUUCAGUCAAACAUGAAACCCUAGCUCAGCUCCCAUUUACAUGAAAGGCUUCACCUAGGGUUUCAGGCUCACCCAAUAAAACCUAGCUGAAACAAUAAUAAUAAUAAGGAGGUCCAGGAGGAGACAAACGCUUCAGAGACUUGACAGUAAAACUGAAAUAAGAAACCAAAAAGAAAAUCAAGGACAAGGAACACCCAUGUUUUAUACAAACGACCAAAGUUGAGAGAAUACAUAAAAGAGGGAACAAGUAAAAAAAAAAAAAAGAACCCAAUAAAAAGUAAACAUCAUUAAAAAAGGAAAUCCAGCAGCAAAGUGAAAGAUCCACUAGAAUCCAGCAAUGUUUGGUGGGGGGUUUUCACAUGAAGUGGAUACAAGGAUCAGAUCAUUUUUGCUUCUAUACUGUUCCUACUAAAAUCAUUAUCAAGAACAAGUGCAUGGCACUAUACCUGCUUUUUCCCAUCAAAAAUAAUCGCAGAUGUGUAACCCAUAGACAAUACAUAGCUAUAAAGAAGAUACCCAGAUCAACAAAGAAAAGAAAAGAAAAGAAAGUAAAAUAAUAAUAAUAAUAAUAUCACAUACUCAGAUGCCAAAAAAAUCUUCGUGAAUCGGAGAAAGCAAGAAGAACCCAUGAAACUCAGGAUAGAUAGCGCCACUGAUGAGACGUAUGAUAAAAUCAUGCCUACAUGGCGCUAUCCCUCCUGAGCUUUACAGAUUCUCCCGUACUGUAUAAGAGCCUGGAGGAAGAAAAAGGGCUAUAUAUACAAAACUAGAAGAAAAGCUCUGAAGCUUUGGGGCUCAAGCCUCAAAUGGUGGGGAAUGAAAUUUAAGGGAGGGGGAGGAGGGUAUUUAUAAUACGAAGAAGGGACGUAGGACAUGAGUCACUUUAUCGGAGCAUGAAGGAAAAAUGGAGGGACGGUUUCUUUAAUUUGUUAUUCUUUAAUAUUAAUAAUAGUAUGCAUUAAUGUUUCCUUACUUUGUACGCUGCCGACUACGAUAUUCGUUCUCACUCUUGGGAUACGGAGAGGGAAUUACUUCAAU
rnacentral:precursor_RNA from 1 species